rnacentral:lncRNA from 1 species
GGUGUGUCAAAACAUGUAGUAUUUGCUUUUUGAAAUACAUUUGCCUACGUGGAGUUGUAAAAUACACAGAGACUCAGAAACUGCAGUCCUUUUUGCGCUGUAAAAAUGAAUACUACCAGCAUGUCAAAAGAAAAAUAAUUUGCAUUUGUAAUAUAAACUACAAUUGUAGCCAAUGUAUGUUUUAGGAUUUUUAAUUUGCGCUAACUGGAAAAUUUAACGGUUAUGGUAAUUUACAGAUUAAUAUGGACCUGAAUACCCAAUUUGGACGAAAAGAGUCAGUAGAAUAGGUGAUAGUUUUGUGCAGCUUUCAUUCAAAAUGAUAAUAUUGAAGCAAGAACCAGCGUUUUAUUUUAAAAAUACUGUUUUUGUUUUUAAAUUUUACCCAAUUUAGGACAGUGGAAUGUUAGAUUUAUUUUUUUAAAUCUAGAAAUUUAAGAAAAAAAGUUUUGUGACUCUGCCCCAACCCAACUGAAGGUAACUCUGCAGCAGCAAGACAGGAGAGGUCGGUUUUGCCUCCGACCCAGUGUCUGCCUUUCUCUGCCGGUCGGCGGCCGGGUCUCCUGUGUCCGAGGCAUCCUCUGCACGCUGCGCGAGUGUCAGAGCCAGGCCGGCCCGGCAGGGGGGGCGCACGCGUCUGUGAUCCCCGCACUCGGAAGCCCUCAGCGAGUUCAGGGCCAGCCUGGGCUACAGCCGGACCGGACGUGUCUCAGAAAAGAAAACAAAACAAAAACACGAACCAGAACCAGGCAGGCAGGUGGGAAUGGGACCUCGGAAUUUCGGUUUAUAUUAAUAGGCAGCGGGACGUGAUGCUGGUGCGCACUGAAACCGGAAACCUGAAAGCUGCCUGGGUGCGCCUCAUGCGCUCAGCCCCGGCUUUUGAAAAACUUUAACGGGAUGUUUAAGAGUGGUUUUCCUUCACUCUGCUAACUGCCAUCUUUGCCCGAAACUGACCUUCUGUAGAAACUGAAAAAUGUGUUUGCAUCCUGUCCAAACUGACGUGUUUGCUGUUACGUGAAAACUGGUAGCUGCAGUUUGCACGGAGCUGGAGUCUUUAGUCCGAUGACAGGCGAGGAGUUGCUUUGGGACUGGAAGAGGGGCCCGAGGGGCAUGAGCCUGGGAGGCUCCCAGCUUCUCACCUCUUUCAGGCCCUGCAGCCCAUGUAUGCCAGGUGCCAUACAAGAUUUUAGCGGCUAAAACACUUCCACUAUUUAGAAAUGAUUGUUUGGGGGGUUUUUUGUUUUGUUUUUGAGACAAGGUCUCACUAUGUAGUUCCAUCUGGCCAUGAACUCACUGUAGCCCAGGCUCGCAGCGAUCCUCCUGCCUCAGCCUCCUGAGUGCUGGGGUUACAGGCAUGUGCCACCACACCUGGCUGAUUCUACUAUUUUUUUUAAUGAGUUUGGGAGCCACUGCUUUAAUGACUCUUGUCACCUGUUUGAUUUUCUACUAAUUUUACGUUUUCACACACCUGAUGUUUAUUGUUGAACAGACUAGGGGUCUCAGUUACUGCUUAGAAUGUGGCCACGUGGUCAUUUCACAAUUUUUAAAGGCAUUUUGUUGCAUAGUAAAGCACCAAACUUAGCAUCUGUUCCUGUUUGUAACUGUGGUAUAAAAUGAUCUGUGCGUUUAACUGGUUUUAUGUAAAUACACACAUCUCUUUGGUCAGGUAGUCUUGACAAGUGCAUAGUCACCACCUGGGGCUUGCAGGUCUCCAAAAGGUACAUUCCGAGGCUCUGGGGAAGGGAUCCGCGGGCGCUUCCUCUGACA